rnacentral:rRNA from 1 species
GAUGAACGCUGGCGGCGUGCCUAAUACAUGCAAGUCGAGCGAACAGAUCAUUUUCUUUCUCCUCUUACUUUUUCGGCUGUCGUGUGUUUAACACGUUUUUAACCUCCCUAUUUUUCUUGUAUAACUUCGUGAAUCCGUUUCUUAUACCGGAUAAUAUAUUGAACCUCUUUGUUCUUUAGUUUAUUUCGUUUUUUCUGUCUCUUAUAGAUUUUUCCUCGCCGCAUUAGCUAGUUGUUAAGGUAACGGCUUACCAAGGCAACGAUGCGUAGCCGACCUGAGAGGGUGAUCGGCGACACUGGAAGUGAGACACGGACCAGAGGACUACGGGAGGCAGCAGAAGGGAAUAUUACGCAAUGGGCGAAAGCAUGACGGAGCAAAGCCGCGUGAGUGAUGAAGGAGUUAGGAUCGUAAAAAAAUGUUAUUAGGGAAGAAAAAAAGUGUAAGAAAAUAAGAACGUAAUGACGGUAACAAAACAGAAAGCAACGGCUAACUACGUG